AUACGGAGGGUGCAAGCGUUACUCGGAAUCACUGGGCGUAAAGCGCGCGCAGGCGGGCUGAUAAGUUGGAUGUGAAAGCCUACGGCUCAACCGUAGAACUGCAUCCAAAACUGUCAGUCUAGAGUGUGGGAGAGGAAGAUGGAAUUAGUUGUGUAGGGGUAAAAUCCGUAGAGAUAACUAGGAAUACCAAAAGCGAAGGCAAUUUUCUGGAACACUACUGACGCUGAGGCGCGAAGGCGUGGGGAGCAAACAGGAUUAGAAACCCCGGUAGUCC
rnacentral:rRNA from 1 species